GGCCGCCCACUGUUCUCCCAGACUGAAAGCGGUCUGGGACGACCCGUACUCACCGCCGCAAUAAGCCCAUACGAGCCCAACCUGGAACCCGUUGGCGAGCAUUGGGCAACCCAUGCAUACCUCCCCCGAGCUGAUUUGGUGGAGGGAUCACGAUUCCUCCCCAUGGAUCCUUGUGAUCCCUGUCCACCAAUCACCCCCGAGAGUUCGCGCUCCGUUCCACCAAAAUCCUCCCCACUUCCUCGUUCCUCAAACUUGAAUAAGAUGGAGAAUCUAGCACAUCCAAUCUCCUCUGGUUUUGUGACUUCCAAACUAGUCCUCCACGCGUCACUUCCCACGCCUAGAAGGGGAUUGUCGCCGCCGCCGCGCAACAAUGGCCUCCUCUUCGGAGAACACAGUGGGGGGGGGGGGGGUCCAAGGCCAUCGACGCCGAACCCGGAGCCCUUUAGUAGCAAGCGAUGGAUCCAGCGGUGGCUCGGGGCUCGAGUCCCCCCAACCGCUUCUGUUCCCAUGGAGCUUCACUAAAGCCUCUCAUAAUUUAAAAUAUACAUAAUAUAACGUAGAAGAGGCUUGCUGCAACAGUUUAGUUCAGUCUCUGCUAAACUUUUUUUUGGCUCCGUCCCUUUGUUACCUUAUGACUUGCAAGGUCAAAAAUCAAAUGGCAAAUAUCAGGAGAAUGGGAAUGGUGAAGUUGAGAAGGAUGAUGAUGAGGAGGACAUUGAUGAGAAGAUAGGAGAUGAAGAGGAUAAUGAUCUGGAUCUUUCCUGGAAAAUGUUGGACAUUGCUAGGACAAUAGUUGAGAAGAGCCAAGAGAACACUAUUGAGAAAGUAAAAAAAUAUUCUGGUCUUGCUGAAGUUGCAACGGAAAGAGGACAUGCAUAGACAACUCACUCACUGACUACAUGAGAGCUUUAUCCAUGUUGGAGCACUUGGUUGAGCCUGAUCAUCGCCGAGUUGUGGAAUUGUAUCCUCUUUGUCAUAAAUACACUAUUUUGUGUGCUCAAGAGAAAUAUUACUACCCACAGUCAUAAUUAUUCGACAUUAAGAUCAUCAAAUUGACCUGAAUGUAAUUCUUAUGUCAUAUAACAAUGGCUGGAGCCUGGAGGUAGUAUCAUUGUGUAAAUAAUCAUCUGCAACCUAGUUGUUGGGGCUCUUGCAUUGAUCUAUUGUGGUGAUCUCUUUUUUACUUUAAUAUAUAUUUUUGUAGCAUGUUAAACUUGAAAAUUUGGGUUGGUAAAGAAUGCCUUGUUAAUAUUCAAUAAACAAGUUCACUUCUUUUGGUCGAAUGUAACAUUAUUUACUUGAAUGCACAUGUUACUUUAGAUUAUAUGAUCGCAUCCCAGCAUCAGUUUAAUUUGUUGCUCUUCCUUUGUUAAUUGCCUUGAAACAGUCUUUUAGAAACUUCCGCAUAUGUUUGGUUUAUGAGCUAGUUUCCAAGAUUGGAGAUGCGAUUCCGUACUGUACAAAAGCGAUUUCACUAUGCAAGUCACGCAUAUAGAGCCCUGAAAAGUUCCAAGGAUGCUUUGCAUGAUAAAGACGGUAAUGAUGCACCUGCUGUUGAAGCUGAAGGAGGUUCAGAAAAAACUGCCGCUGAAAAAGAGCUAGAGCAGCUUACUAGCAUAUGCAAUUUUAUUAUGCUUCAUGGGUCUGUUACUGUAUGAGUGAGCGAAAGACUUUGGGCCCUGCGAGCCGGAGAGGUACGCCACACCAAUCACCAAUCACAUCAACCGCGACACUCUCAGCGCGAGCCUGGCACCCCCGCCUCUGGAUAUUAUGGAGAGCUUGCGCCAGCACAUACUUCAAAUAUGGAUGCGCUCUGCUAUACAAAGCUCAGGAGGAAACUGAUUUUUAGGUCCCUUUGUCAGCGCUCCUACUAUUCUCAAAAUGGCUUCGGCUCUGGCUCCUCUGUCUUCUUGGCUUCUCUAGAGGAGGCAGAGCCGUUUUGCAAUUCAUUUGGCAAAACAGCUUCUCACGAGCAGACGGUGGCAGAGACUAUAAUUUCGUGAAACAUUAUUGUGUGCCGAAUAGAAGAAGCCGGUAGAAGCUUGUUUUCUCGUGCUUCGGCUCCCAAUAGCAAAACAACUCUGGCUCUUUGAUGACUCUCGGUAAGGAGCCGUUUUUCUAAGACCGUUUGGUAUGGCUUCACGAAGAGCCAGAAAAGGAGCCACCGAGAGAGCCAGGCCCUUAAUAUGGAGAGGAUGCCUGUCUUCGGAGAAAGCUGUUGCUGAAGAAGGUAUAUGAUUACCAGGGCUAAUGGCAUAUCUAAUUUGUUCUGCAUUUAGCUCGAGGACCUGGACCAAGCAGCCCCAAGCCCUGCCAUGGAUGAGAUGGUGAAGACAAUUGCGUCUAGGAUAACUGACGCGAUGCCAGGAGCUGCAUCUUUUACUUGUUCCCAGAUGGCAGCCUCGAGCAAUGGAUUUAACUCCUCGCGGUUAUGUCUACCGCAGCGACAACCGGAAGCAUUGUGACUGAAAAACACUGCUGGAGCCAUCGCCUCAUCCUGAGCUUUGUACGCUGUAAUAACAUUAUAUAUACUUAUAAUAUAAAUAUAAAUUGCUGAGAAGUUCAUGGUGUCAAGUGUGUUUGGUGAGGUGCUAGACAUAAUUCACGACAUGGCUCCAGUUCUUAAUUCUUACUACAUUGCCAGCAGCCAACAACUACAACAGUUGGUUUGCCCUUUGUCUGCCGCCAUGGCUGCGUGCUGAUCAAUGGGCUGUGCUAUGUGCCAAGAACGGCUACCACUACGACCUUGACUGCCACAGUUGUGUGGUCUUUGUAGGAAACAACCGAGAAGGUUUUUUUUUUUUUUUGAAGGUGAAAAACAACCUAGAAGUUGACCCUGUAUUUGCUUGUGCAACCAAGUUCUCAUCACUGACCGGUGCUAUUGACCUAGGAUAUCAAUCACAACUCCAUGUAGUAUUGUACUAACGCUUCU